AUAACGCAGAGACCCGGGAGCAGAGACACUCACCCGUAAAAUAUUCAUUGCACUGUAUCCCCGCACCUGUUGUGACGCAUAUAAACGGUGUCGAAGUAAACAGUGUAGUUGAAACAUCAUCGUUAAAUUUAUGGAUUAAACUGGGAAUUUUGCAAUCAGGCGUGAUGACAGAGGUUGUCGUAACUUCACAACCGGAAGGCGUGGUUGCCCCAAGUAAUGUGCAAUUGUUUGAAAAGAACGAGCAAACUACAGGCGUCACUGUGUUUGAAACCAAAGAGCAAAAGAAGAGGAAAAAUGUUGACAUGUAUACCACAAGUGACGAUAGCUGCCUUCUGUGCCUCGCAUGCUGCUGCUUCUGCUGUGCGGACAACAAAAGUGGAGGAGGAAACGACGAGUGUUGUGAUUGUGGAGACAGCAAUUGCUGCGAUUGUGGGGGUUGUGAUUGUGGGGGAUGUGAUUGUUCAGACUGCUUUGGAUGAGACGAAAAAGAUAUGUUAAUAUUUGCUUUCGCUAGCUACCUCGGCCAGGAUAAGCUCAGGCAUGCGGAUAAAUAUGAGCUUAUGUAAGAUGGUUAUUGUGUUGUGAUGGCAAUUUCUAAGGCCAACAUGACAUGAGCAGUAUGUAGUGAAAUUAAAAGUGGAAAUACGCCAACCAAAAACAAACAAUCCUUAUUAAAUUAAGAAUUUAAAGUUAUAUUGCAGAAAAAUGGUUGUCUUAGUAUAUUCCAUAAGCCUUUAACAAUAAACAUGUGUGCAUACUUUAUCAUUAACACAAUUUGGAUAAAAUACUUUUUUGUGAUUGGUUCAAAUCCUGGAAAAUUUAUCAAAAUGAAGAAUAGACAAUGUUUUUCUAGUCUCUGCUAUAGCAAGAGAAGGAUGUAGUCUUUUUGCCACGAAGCUGUCCAUGUUUAUAUCUUUUUUGACCUUGAUCAACAGCCAAUAAAAUGUUCUAGACAAUUGUGCUACUGAAUUGAAAAAAUGAAUAGUAUAUAGAUUCAGCAAAGUGUUUUUCAACGAUGCUAGCCGAUGGUUGAUCUUGAAACUAUUGACUCUCAUAUAUGAGUCGCGUUCUGAGAAAACGGGGUUUAAUGCAUGUGCGUAAAGUGUCGUCCCAGAUUAGCCUGUGCAGUCCGCACAGGCUAAUCAGGGACGACACUUUCCGCCUUAACUGGAUUUUCGUGUAGGAGAGACUUCCUUUUAACAAAAAUACCAUACAAACGGAAAAUGUCGUCCCUGGUUAGCCCGUGCGAACUGCACAGGCUAAUCUGGGACGACUCUUUACGCACAUGCAUUAUGCCCAGUUUUCUCAGAACGCGACUUAGUUUGAAUAACACUACAUAAUCACGUGGAUGUGGGUCAUUUUUCGGCGGAGCUGUCUAACCCAGCUUUUCACUUUACCUGACCUUUGUAAGUGUCCAAUAAAAUUUCCCGCGGCUAGAUCCGAAUGAAUACACUUCAUUUAUUCCAUUGGCUGAUUUGAGCAUAAUUUCACAGAACAUCGGCAACACGAUCGCGUCUUUGUAACGAUGUUAAAUGCAUGUUCAGCAUGAAUCUACUUUACUUUUAUAAAAAGGCUUGAGGGAUAGAACAGUUUUACACCCAACUAACGACAUCAAUACAGUUUGUGUGUGGCCCUUUACAUUUAGAAGAUUGUCAGCGCCAUAGCGUUUGUACUUAAAGGCUGUGUUCUCAUAUUUAGUUAUUACGACCGUAUUGCAUGCUUUGAUCACGCAUAUUUUAGACCAUAUAAAAUAUUGUUGUUCCCUA